GGACUCCUCACAGCAGGAGCAGGAACUGUCUCUGACUCUGUGGCCUGCCUUAGGACCCUUUCACC
rnacentral:miRNA from 1 species